GUGCGGGGGAUGGAGGAAAGUCGGGAGGCAUCCUGGGCACGAGCCAGGGUAGACAUGGGUGUUUGAUGUGGGCAAGUGAGGCGGGCUGGGUCAGACUGUGCUCUUGUUUUCUAGGGUUUUCUCUGCUUGCUCCAGCCACCCCCUCAACCUCUAGUUUCUUUCUUUCCUUCCUUUCUUUUCUUUUUCUUUUUUUUUUUUGUUACCCAAAGUUUUUUUUUAAGCAAUAUUUUAUUAGAAAAGGUUUAAAAUUAUUUUUGCCCAUUUUUACCAUCUCCCUGGUUUACUUCAGCUGGAAUUUUUAUUCAUGUAUUUUUGAGUAGGCAAUGCACACACACAUAUGUUCUUACCUAAAAGGAGUGUAAGAACGCUGAGUGGGGGUGACACCAGCCUUUAACCUCAUCACGUGGGAAGCAGAGGCAGGUGGAGCUCUCUGAGUUUAAGGCCAGCAUGGUUCACGUUGUGUUCCAAGGGGCUGCAUAGUGGGUGGGACCCUGCCUCAAAAAAAAAAAAAAAAAAAAAUGUAGUCAGGUCCGGAUUAAGUCAGCUUCUCACACCCAUCUGAAUGCUCCCCACAUCUGGGUUCUGUGUAUGCCCUCCACCAGUGUUAACUCUUACGUCAACGGCCCACACCUGAGGUGAGCCCAUCUUGAGCCUUUGGGUUCAGCUCCCCCUAGCAUGGAGGCCUUGCCAGGGCCAUGGGCAUCCCCUCCAGACCUGGCUGCCCUUCCUCAGAGAAGGCAGCGGCUACAGGCUCAGGGAUCCCCUCAGCUCUGGAUUCUGUGCAGCCGUUCCUAACCCUGCAGUUUUAAGUGCUGCAGCCUCUAACUCCAGCCAGAGCCCUCCACGCUGUUGUUCAUCUGGCUUUCUGUGGUUUCUCAGAGUUGUUUUGAUCCUGAGACCAUGAGUCUGCACGUCCCCCUCCCAUCACAUAAGGGAGUGUCUUUUUCUGGCAGAGGAGGAGUGUGUAAGUUAGGAAACACAGGUGCUUCGAAUUGCACAGUUCUUGGAAUUAACACAGUCUUGGAGCUCAGAUGAGAUUUUAAGGAUUAUCUAUGUUCCUUUUUUUUUUUUUUUUAAAAAAAAAAAGGUAUAUAGAGAAUUCAUCCCUAGAAAGUAAAUUAUAACGUCAAAUAUCCACCCCUGCAACACACCCAAGGCAACACUGGUGGGACAGUGUGGGGUAGAUUGUGACAUUCUGUGAGGCCCCUCCCCCCAACCAAUGUCCUGGUCCGGGAGGAAACGCUUGAUUCAACUAUGAGAGGAAUGCUUGUGCCUUGGGCAUCCACAGUGGCUGGAUUGUGGAACUGUGUGCCCUGCCUAGGCCCGGGGCUGACUUCUUAGCUGGCCUUCAAAGGACAGAUCGCCAUUGAACUCUGGGCAAUACCCAAAAGUAGCUCGAGGAAGCCGAGAGCUGUGUUUCUGCAGUGCACACCAUCGAUCCAUAGCAUUUGAAGCUCUUUUUCUCUGCAAGCGUCCACAAAAUUCAUUACUUUACAAUGAGCCUGGCAGGGAUUGCGGCAGUGGGAAACUCUACACGGGUCCCAGGCUCGCUCUCUCUCUUUCCUGGAAUUUUGCCUUGGCAGGUAAAUCAAAUACCCAGUAAACACACUUGUGAACUUCUCCAAAGCCACUUCUGUCUGUGGCCUUGGCUGUCCCUCACCGGUGGCCCUUCAUUUUCCUGCUUCCCCAUGUACUGGGGUUGAGCCCUGUGGCUGUACAGGUAUGGCCAGCUAAUCCUGCCAGACAAGGUCAGCAACAAUUAAUGGGCAUAAUCUCUCUCUCUCUCUCUCCCAAGCUUUCUUUGGUGGCUCUCCUAAGUCUGGAGAGAGGACUGAGAGGAGAAUUGAACGUACCCUUCGGAUGCACACGCCCACUCACUGCUCUGUGGGUCUGUGCUGCCCCCUACCCCGCCCCCGAGCUGCUCAUUAUGACUGCUGAGGCCUUAGGUGGCAGCCUUAGGUGGCAGUUCUGUUGGAGCUGGUGCCUGAGAUGCUGCUUAAAUGCUAUCUCUCAUGCACUGCCCGAUAGCAGUCCGCCUUGCUGCUGCCGUGGGAUGCUGCCCCCCUCCUCAGAUCCCUAUCUUCCCUUGUGGUACACAAAAGAGCUCCUCUCUGGGGGUUCCGAGUUUUGGUUCUC
ensembl:sense_intronic predicted gene 42939